rnacentral:rRNA from 1 species
GUUAGGAAUAUUGGACAAUGGGCGCAAGCCUGAUCCAGCCAUGCCGCGUGAGUGAUGAAGGCCUUCGGGUUGUAAAGCUCUUUAGUCCACGAAUAUAAUGACUGUAGUGGAAGAAUAAGCCCCGGCUAACUUCGUGCCAGCAGCCGCGGUAAUACGAAGGGGGCGAGCGUUAUUCGGAAUCACUGGGCGUAAAGCGUGCGUAGGCUGUUUUGUAAGUCAGAAGUGAAAGCCCAGGGCUUAACCCUGGAAUUGCUUUUGAAACUACAAGACUCGAAUUCGGGAGAGGAUAGCGGAAUUGUCAGUGUAGCAGUGAAAUGCGUAGAUAUUGACAGGAACACCAGUGGCGCAGGCGGCUAUCUGGACCGAUAUUGACGCUGAGGCACGAAAGCGUGGGGAGCAAACAGGAUUAGAUACCCGGGUAGUCC